GCGUCGGUGGUGCAGCGGUUUAGCACGUGCUCCUGGAAAGAGUAAGACCUGGAAUCAAAUCCCGGUUGACGCA